UACGGAGGGUGCAAGCGUUGUCCGGAAUCACUGGGCGUAAAGGGCGCGUAGGCGGCUCGGUAAGUAGGGGUGAAAUCCUGCGGGCUUAACCGCAGGGCUGCCUUCUAAACUGUCGAGCUUGAGCACGGUAGAGGCAGAUGGAAUUCCCGGUGUAGCGGUGGAAUGCGUAGAGAUCGGGAAGAACAUCAGUGGCGAAGGCGGUCUGCUGGGCCGUUGCUGACGCUGGAGGCGCGACAGCGUGGGG
rnacentral:rRNA from 1 species